UACGUAGGGUGCAAGCGUUAAUCGGAAUUACUGGGCGUAAAGCGUGCGCAGGCGGUUAUAUAAGACAGAUGUGAAAUCCCCGGGCUCAACCUGGGAACUGCAUUUGUGACUGUAUAGCUAGAGUACGGCAGAGGGGGGUAGAAUUCCACGUGUAGCAGUGAAAUGCGUAGAGAUGUGGAGGAACACCAAUGGCGAAGGCAAUCCCCUGGGCCUGUACUGACGCUCAUGCACGAAAGCGUGGGGAGCAAACAGG
rnacentral:rRNA from 1 species